rnacentral:rRNA from 1 species
GACGAACGCUGGCGGCGUGCCUAAUACAUGCAAGUCGAACGCAGUGGGGACGGGUGAGUAACACGUGGGUAACCUCCCAUCAGAGGGGAUAACACUUGGAAACAGGUGCUAAACCGAUACUGAUGGAUGGACUCGCGGUGAAUUAGCUAGUUGGAGAGGUAACGGCUGACCAAGGCCACGAUGCAUAGCUGACCUGGGAGGGUGAUCGGCCACACUGGGACAGGGACACGGACCAGACUCCUACGGGAGGCAGUAGUAGGGAAACUUCGGCAAUGGACGAAAGUCAGACCGAGCAACACCGCGAGAGUGAAGAAGGUUUUCGGAUCGUAAAACGCUGUUGUUAGAGAAGCGGAAUCUAACCAGAAAGCCACGGCUAACUAGCUGCCAGCAGCCGCGGUAAUAC